rnacentral:rRNA from 1 species
CUAGCGUUGCUCGGAAUUACUGGGCGUAAAGCGCCCGUAGGCGGCUUUUUAAGUCAGGGGUGAAAUCCUGGAGCUCAACUCCAGAACUGCCUUUGAUACUGAGAAGCUUGAGUCCGGGAGAGGUGAGUGGAACUGCGAGUGUAGAGGUGAAAUUCGUAGAUAUUCGCAAGAACACCAGUGGCGAAGGCGGCUCACUGGCCCGGUACUGACGCUGAGGUGCGAAAGCGUGGGGAGCAAACAGG